CGCCCGCCAACCGUCAACCGCCAACCGCCAACCGCCGCAUUUCAAACACCGUUUGAUUUGGUUUCUCGAGUAGACUUGAUGUUGGCGCUCGGGGAAACAGAGACGCGACGCGAGGAGGCGAGACGAGGCGACUGGGCCUGAGAGUCCGUGAGACAGGAGAUGCCGCCUGACCCGCUGAGUUCCUCCAGCACUCUGUGCUUUGCUCAAGAUUCCAGCGCCUGCAGUUCCUUGCGUCUCUCCAAUAAUCUUUCUCCUUCCUGUGACAGAGGUUAAUAACACAUCCACGUUGGAGUGAAGGAGCGGCCCGUCCCAGCCAGGUCUCCAUUAUCCCCGUCAGGUAUGUUAGUUGGAGAGAGGAAGGAACAGAAUGGAACAUAUGGAGACCAUGAAUACUGUCCUCUCCUGGGUAAGUAAUCUUUCUUAAAUUAACCGACCAAAACUCCAACUAAGUUCUAAGAAAUAAAAGAAACAUAGAUGCAGGAGUAUUCCAUUCAGCCCUUUGAUCAUCUAAAAUCAGUACCCCAUUCCUGCUUUUUCCUCAUAUCCCCUGAUUCCAUUAGACCUAAGAGCUAAAUCUAACUCUCUUGAACACAUCCAGUGAAUUGGCCUCCACCGCCUUCUGCGGCAGAGAAUUCCACAGAUUCACAAAACAAAAUUGUGAGGGAGAUCAGGAAUGUCCAACAUUUUGAAGUCAACAACUCAACCAUUCGACCCAAUAAAUCUACCGCACAAUGAAUAGUCAGCACCUGGUUAGGACAUGCGUGUGUCACUGGGAGUGUAAUCGAGGGCUCUAGGGAGUGUACAAUGCCUGAAUCGUUUGAUAAACCACAGAUAAUCAUCAUCUGGGCCUUGUGGUGGGAAAGAUUCUAUAUUUGCACACAUUGUUGUUUCCGUUGCAUUGGUCUGACCACAACAAGAACAAACAGCUUCAAUAACAAACUUGACUCAAGCCUAAUCCCAGCCGCCACAAUUCCCAUUGUUGCUGAAGUGAACAUAUUUUGAAAUGUUUAGCAUGACCACAGAUAAACACAACAGGCAUCCAGCUUUGAAGAAAGUUGUUCGUAAACCCGGGAAUAUCUCCAUGUCUGAGUUGCCACAGCGACCAACCAACAAAACACAAAAGUGGUUUUGCAUCUGACUUCAAUGUCUGUGUCUGGGGCAAUGGCACAGCCUCAAUACAUGUCUGUGUCUGGGGCACUGGCCUCAAUACAUGUCUGUGUCUGGGGCAAUGGCCUCAGCCUCAGUACAUGUCUGUGUCUGGGGCACUAGCACGGCCUCAGUACAUGUAUGUGUCUGGGGCACUGGCACUGGCUUCAGUACAUAUCUGUGUCUGGGGCACUAGCACGGCCUCAGUACAUGUCUGUGUCUGGGGCACUGGCACAGCUUCAGUACAUGUCUGUGUCUGGGGCACUGGCACUGACCUCAAUACAUGUCUGUGUCUGGGGCACUGGCACAGCCUCAAUACAUGUCUGUGUCUGGGGCACUGGCACUGGCCUCAAUACAUGUCUGUGUCUGGGGCACUGGCACUGGCCUCAAUACAUGUCUGUGUCUGGGGCACUGGCACUGGCCUCAGUACAUGUCUGUGUCUGGGGCACUAGCAUGGCACGGCAGUGUGCUGGAGUUGGAUGGUGUUUGCCUUCACCAAGUGGAGACAGGACAUCAACUGUCCAGCAGCAACCUUGUCCACUCACUGGACCCCACCACCAACUGGCCCAAUCCCACCGGCACAACAGAGGCCAGCCAGCUCCGUGCGUGUGUCCAUGAACAAUGGUGUAUCCCACCCUUGCCAAAUGGAGACAGGACGACACAAACAAGGCUGAGGCCACGUGGUCCGGUGGUUGAGGACGGGCCACGUGGAUGCCGGAGGUUGUACGUGCCAACGAGAACAAAGGGGGGCCAGGCAUGGGGGGGGGACAGCCAAGAUCUAAGGGGGACCCAACAUGGGGAUGACCACAAAUGGAAUGUAUUAAAAAUGGAUUGUGUUAAAAUGGAAUAAUUUGUUACUUUGCUGGUGCCCUUUAUGUAGUGACUGUUUGUAUACCCUGGAUACGCAGAGUACAGCAUUUCACUGGGACUUGUCACUUGUGACAAUAACGUGAUCACUGGUUCAUUCAUUUACUCGCUCAUUCAUUCACUCACUCAUUCUUUCACAUUCACUCAUCAUUCACUCAUUCACUCACUCAUUCAUUCGUGCACUCAUUCAUUCACUCAUUCAUACAUACAAUCAUUCACUCAUUCAUUCACUCACUCAUUCACUCAUCAUUCAUACAUUUAUUCACUCAUCAUUCACUGAUCAUUCACUCAUUCAUCAUACAUUCACUCAUUCAUUCACUCAUACAUGCAUUCACUCAUUCAUUCAUACAUUCAUUCACUCAUUAUUCACUCAUUCAUUCACUCACCAUUCACUCAUUCAUUCAUACAUUUAUUCACUCAAUCAUUCACACAUUCAUGAUUCACUCAUUCAUUCACUCAUUAUUCACUCAUUCAUUCACUCAUCAUUCAUUCAUU